CAAACCUCCACUCUUAACUCCCUCUUAAAGUAAAUAAGUAAUCUUUGCUGGCAAGGCUAUGCUGAACCCCCUUGAGCACUGUCUAAUUGGAUGUCCUGGGUCCUCCCAAUUCUAAGUCAUUUAAUAUCUGUUUUUCUUCUUCUCUUAAUUCGGACCUUGUGUCUUCCAUUUAGUUUCUCAAUUCAUACAAAACCACAUCCAGGCCAUCACCAAUCAUUCUAUAUGACGAAUGCUCCUUUUAACAACCCCACAAUAUCACCCCUUACCACAAAAUCUUCCUUCAGCUUAAUCUCUCCCACUCUAAGUUCCCACACCGCCCCUAAUCCUGCUCAAAGCAGCCUGAGAAACAUUGCCCAUUAUCUCUCCAUACCACUCCCAAAAUUUUCGCCACCCAACACUUUACCACUAUUUCAUUUUAUUUUUCUUAUUAAUAUAAGAAGACAGGAAUGUCAGGCCUCUGAGCCCAAGCUAAGCCAUCAUAUCCCCUAUGACCUGCACAUACACCUCCAGAUGGCUGGUUUCUGCCUUAACUGAUGACAUUCCACCACAAAAGAAGUGAAAAUGGCUUGUUCCUGCCUUAACUGAUGACAUUACCUUGUGAAAUUCCUUCUCCUGGCUCAUCCUGGCUCAAAAGCUCCCCCACUGAGCACUUUGUGACCCCCGCCCCUACCGGCCAGAGAACAACCCCCUUUGACUGUAAUUUUCUUUACCUACCCAAAUCCUAUAAAAUGGCCCCAC
rnacentral:lncRNA from 1 species